rnacentral:rRNA from 1 species
GAAGGCACAGACAGCCAGGAUGUUGGCUUAGAAGCAGCCAUCAUUUAAAGAAAGCGUAAUAGCUCACUGGUCGAGUCGGCCUGCGCGGAAGAUGUAACUGGGCUAAACCAUGCACCGAAGCUGCGGCAGCGACACUAUGUGUUGUUGGGUAGGGUAGCGUUCUGUAAGCCUGCGAAGGUGACCUGUGAGGGUUGCUGGAGGUAUCAGAAGUGCGAAUGCUGACAUAAGUAACGAUAAAGCGGGUGAAAAGCCCGCUCGCCGGAAGACCAAGGGUUCCUGUCCAACGUUAAUCGGGGCAGGGUGAGUCGACCCCUAAGGCGAGGCCGAAAGGCGUAGUCGAUGGGAAACAGGUUAAUAUUCCUGUACUUGGUGUUACUGCGAAGGGGGGAC